GGUGGCUCAGUGGUAGAGUGCUUGUCUUGAAUGCAUGAGGGCCUGAGUUUGAUUCCUCAGCACCA
rfam:Dipodomys ordii contig_81674, whole genome shotgun sequence.